GGUAGCGAAAUUCCUUGUCGGGUAAGUUCCGACCUGCACGAAUGGCGUAAUGAUGGCCAGGCUGUCUCCACCCGAGACUCAGUGAAAUUGAACUCGCUGUGAAGAUGCAGUGUACCCGCGGCAAGACGGAAAGACCCCGUGAACCUUUACUAUAGCUUGACACUGAACAUUGAGCCUUGAUGUGUAGGAUAGGUGGGAGGCUUUGAAGCGUGGACGCCAGUCUGCGUGGAGCCAACCUUGAAAUACCACCCUUUAAUGUUUGAUGUUCUAACGUUGGCCCCUUACCGGGGUUGCGGACAGUGUCUGGUGGGUAGUUUGACUGGGGCGGUCUCCUCCCAAAGCGUAACGGAGGAGCACGAAGGUUAGCUAAUCCUGGUCGGACAUCAGGAGGUUAGUGCAAUGGCAUAAGCUAGCUUGACUGCGAGCGUGACGGCGCGAGCAGGUGCGAAAGCAGGUCAUAGUGAUCCGGUGGUUCUGAAUGGAAGGGCCAUCGCUCAACGGAUAAAAGGUACUCCGGGGAUAACAGGCUGAUACCGCCCAAGAGUUCAUAUCGACGGCGGUGUUUGGCACCUCGAUGUCGGCUCAUCACAUCCUGGGGCUGAAGUAGGUCCCAAGGGUAUGGCUGUUCGCCAUUUAAAGUGGUACGCGAGCUGGGUUUAGAACGUCGUGAGACAGUUCGGUCCCUAUCUGCCGUGGGCGCUGGAGAAUUGAGGGGGGCUGCUCCUAGUACGAGAGGACCGGAGUGGACGCAUCACUGGUGUUCGGGUUGUCAUGCCAAUGGCACUGCCCGGUAGCUAAAUGCGGAAGAGAUAAGUGCUGAAAGCAUCUAAGCACGAAACUUGCCCCGAGAUGAGUUCUCCCUGAGACUU
rnacentral:rRNA from 1 species